CCGACCUCUCCUUCAUGGCUCAUGUUCAAUCUAUCGCCAAAUCCUGUCAUUUCCAUCUCAAAAACAUUGUGCGCAUCCGCCCCUACUUAACGCCAGAUGUGACUACGGUGUUGGUCCAUUCCACUGUCCUUUCUCGCCGUGACUACUGUAAUCUGCUUCUCAGUGGUCUUACGUGCUCCCAACCUGCGCCGUUACAGUCCAU